AUUGAACGCUGGCGGCAUGCCUUACACAUGCAAGUCGAACGGUAACAGGUCUUCGGAUGCUGACGAGUGGCGAACGGGUGAGUAAUACAUCGGAACGUGCCUAGUAGUGGGGGAUAACUACUCGAAAGAGUGGCUAAUACCGCAUGAGAUCUACGGAGGACAGCAGGGGAGCGCAAGACCUUGUGCUACUAGAGCGGCAGGAGGCGGAUUAGGUAGGUGGUGGGAUAAAAGCUUACCAAGCCGACGAUCGGUAGCUGGUCUGAGAGGACGAUCAGCCACACUGGGACUGAGACACGGCCCAGACUCCUACGGGAGGCAGCAGUGGGGAAUUUUGGACAAUGGGCGCAAGCCUGAUCCAGCAAUGCCGCGUGCAGGAUGAAGGCCUUCGGGUUGUAAACUGCUUUUGUACGGAACGAAAAGCCCUGGGUUAAUACCCUGGGGUCAUGACGGUACCGUAAGAAUAAGCACCGGCUAACUACGUGCCAGCAGCCGCAGUAAGAC
rnacentral:rRNA from 1 species